rnacentral:lncRNA from 1 species
UCUCAUGGAUUAUCCUGAUCAAGAUUUUAUUGAAUUGAAAUAUACUGAUGCAUAUCUCUUACUAAUUCAAAGGGAUCAAUUCUAUCUUGAUUCACACACUAACUAGAUAAGUACUUGACUGCACCCAGUAGCCUUUCGACAUUGAGUUAGAAACUCAGAUGGUCAGAUGCUAAAGUAUAGUGAGUUGCUUACAAGUCACCGUGGUGGUC